AUGAGCCUUAAUUUUUCUCUAGUGGUCUCCAUCAUAAUUAAAACAGAACGUGAUCUGCUUUUAUGCUUCCUUCUCAGCCUUUUGGACUGCUCAAAUGCUGGUUUCCCUAGGCUUCUUCACGAAUGUGCAAGAGCACAUGUGCCAGGAACACUACCUGCUUGCCCGGACACUCAGACCCCACCAGAACUCCACACCACCACUGAGGUUUCCAAUCAGCACCUCUUCCCAGGAGCAGGACCACCACCUCUCAGUCCCACAGCCACUCCAAGUGUCUUCCAGGUGUUUCCUCCUACGCUUCAGGUGUCGUAGGAGGAAAGGCACAGAAGAUGGCAUCCUUCUGGUCAUCUGCUGAUUUACAAGCUCCUUUUCUUCUCUCGUCAUCCUUUCUGUGCACAGAAUAAUAGAAUGAAGAGGCUGCUAAAACCUGAGCGCUGUGUGGCCUUCUUGUGGCUGUGCAGGCAGCGUGGGGAUGGAAAGUAAAACGUGCUGGGACAAACUGUAGGGGGUCUUCUUGGGGUCCUCUUCCCAAAUAUACUGAAGAGAAAAUUAUGUGAGUAAAAAGUUGCCAGAAAGAGAAGGAAAGUGGGAUGCUGCCUGCGUCUCACGUCCCUAGAAGCUUGACUCUCACUGACGCAGGUCUGGCAGGAUCCUGUCUUGUCUCCAGAUGAUAUAAAGCAUGGCUGAGCUCUGCAGCUUCCAUCACCACCUGUCCCACCAUCCUGCUGGCAACAUCCUUCCUUUGACUGGUGCCACAGGAAAAGCCUUGUUUUCUCUUUGUGCCAGGGAGCAUUGUGGUAGUGCAGGAGAAACACCAAUCUUUUGCAUUUAUUUCUCAUGCUGUGAAAGGCGUGUUUGGCAAAAGGUAGUGAACAUUAGCAUCACCAACUUCUUUUUGACGUAUUCUUGAAAAAUUCCUUGCUUCUCUCAUAAAUCCAAGACUUAUGUAAAUAAUCUGUUUUCAGUCGUAAAGCUAAAGACAAGUAUCAGUGUUUAAACCUAUUUUUAAAACAAAUUGCGCUGUAAUCUAUGAUCUUAAACUGAAAAUUUAGAAGUGCUCUCAUCCUUGAAAAGAAGAGACUAUUUUGCUUUUAGUGACUAAUCAUAAAGCGCUUUCUAAAGGUAACUGAGCAUAGCACAGAGUCUUAAAUAUAUUUUUUAGGUUAUUAAACAUAAUGAAUAGAGUCUGGUUGCUAAUAUUAACUAUGCCUUUGCAAGUGAAGAGCACUUUCAGUUAGUUAGACAGCUUCUUAUCAAAGAACAAAAAUGCACCAUUAAAACAUAUGCAGCUUACUGAAUAAUCAUGUUAUUUGUCAGACAAGCAGAAGAAUAAUCACUGAAGCACUCUCUAAGUGCCAAAUUGGGUAAUAGAUGUAAUUAGGAUCCAUUUGAUUAGAUAUGUGCCCAUGGUAACAGUCACACUCAUGAUCCACAUAUUAGUACAGCCUUGAAUUAAUCUACAAGGGGGAUGAUUGCAGCAGAGCACAUCUGAAGCUUCACUUGGGAGACUUUUGGAACAUAACCUGCACGCUGAUUUCCUCUGUUUCUGUGGUUAGUCUCUAUUUUUAAAACAAUGCAUGCCAUGAUCCUCGAAGGUGAUAUACUGCAUCCAUGAAAUGUCACUGCGCUUUUAUCCCUAAAAGGAAGAACCCUUAAUCAUCUCCAUCACGUUUCAAAGCCUAAAACCUUCCUAUAUUUAGGGACAUACACCAGCAACUGGCAAGGCUUCUGCAAGCUGUUACUAGGAGGUGGGAACAAUCAUCACCUGGAAGCCGGCCCAUCUCAGAUCCACUCUCUUCUUGCAGCCCAGGACAGUCCAGUGAUGGAUAAGGCCUUCUGGAUGUUCUUUUAGGCUGUCACAGGAGUCAUGUGAAGACACUGCAAGGACUCAGUGAGAAGAUGGAUUUUGCAUCGGAUCCAAACCUCUGAGUGAGCCUGCAAGUGCUGAUCCCUUGCCAACCCGCAGGGAAUGAGCCUGGAGGGUACUAUUUGGGUAACAGUGGAACCCGAGAGAGUUUCUUCAGCCGUCGAUGCAAUAUGAAUUGUUCCAGCAGUUUAUUUUUACACAUUUAGAGGGUGAAUAAAUUUGGAAAAUUUGGAUAGAAUCA
rnacentral:lncRNA from 1 species